rnacentral:rRNA from 1 species
UACGUAGGGUGCAAGCGUUGUCCGGAAUUAUUGGGCGUACAGAGCUCGUAGGCGGUCUGUUGCGUCGGCUGUGAAAACCCGGGGCUCAACCCCGGGCCUGCAGCCGAUACGGGCAGACUAGAGUUCGGCAGGGGAGACUGGAAUUCCUGGUGUAGCGGUGAAAUGCGCAGAUAUCAGGAGGAACACCGGUGGCGAAGGCGGGUCUCUGGGCCGAUACUGACGCUGAGGAGCGAAAGCGUGGGGAGCGAACAGG